GGAUUAGAUACCCUGGUAGUCCACGCCGUAAACGAUGUCUACUUGGAGGUUGUUCCCUUGAGGAGUGGCUUUCGGAGCUAACGCGUUAAGUAGACCGCCUGGGGAGUACGGCCGCAAGGUUAAAACUCAAAUGAAUUGACGGGGGCCCGCACAAGCGGUGGAGCAUGUGGUUUAAUUCGAAGCAACGCGAAGAACCUUACCUGGUCUUGACAUCCAGAGAAUUCGGCAGAGAUGCCUUAGUGCCUUCGGGAACUCUGAGACAGGUGCUGCAUGGCUGUCGUCAGCUCGUGCCG
rnacentral:rRNA from 1 species